rnacentral:rRNA from 1 species
CCUACGGGAGGCAGCAGUGGGGAAUAUUGCACAAUGGGGGAAACCCUGAUGCAGCGACGCCGCGUGAAGGAAGAAGUAUUUCGGUAUGUAAACUUCUAUCAGCAGGGAAGAAAAUGACGGUACCUGACUAAUAAGCCCCGGCUAAAUACGUGCCAGCACGCGCGGGGAUACGGAGGGGGCAAGCGUUAUCCGGAUUUACUGGGUGUAAAGGGAGCGUAGGCGGCGAUGCAAGUCAGAAGUGAAAGACCGGGGCUCAAAUCCGGGACUGCUUUUGAAACUGUGUUGCUAGAUUGCAGGAGAGGUAAGUUGAAUUCCUAGUGUAGCGGGGAAAUGCGUAGAUAUUAGGAGGAACACCAGUGGCGAAGGCGGCUUACUGGACUGUAAAUGACGCUGAGGCUCGAAAGCGUGGGGAGCAAACAGGAUUAGAUACCCCAGUAGUC